GGUGACUGAGUUCAGAACUGUGCUCGUCUGAUCUGUGCGCUCGGUCGAAGAGGACGACCUUCCCCGAUAGAGGAGGACCGUUCUUCGGUCAAGGGUAUACGAGUAGCUGCGCUCCCCUGCUAGAACCUCCAAACAGGCUCUCA